GAUGAACGCUAGCUGGAGGCUUAAUACAUGCAAGUCGAGCGGGAUUGGUAGCAAUACCAUGAGAGCGGUGCACGGGUGAGUAACGCGUACACGACCUACCUCUGACAGGGGGAUAGCCCUGGGAAACUGGGAUUAAUACCGCAUAUUAUUCUGAUUAAUAAAGGAUUGGAAUGAAAGUUCAGGCGGUCAGAGAUGGGUGUGCGUCUGAUUAGCUAGUUGGUGGGGUAACGGCCUACCAAGGCGAUGAUCAGUAGGGGGCGUGAGAGCGUGGUCCCCCACACGGGUACUAAGACACGGACCCGACUCCUACGGGAGGCAGCAGUAAGGAAUAUUGGACCAUGGCCGCAAGGCUGAUCCAGCCAUCCAGCGUGCAGGAAGAAGGCCCUAUGGGUUGUAAACUGCUUUUAUCAGGGAAGAAACCUCUGGAUUUACUCCGGAGCUGACGGUACCUGAAGAAUAAGCACCGGCUAACUCCGUGCCAGCCGCCGCUGUAA
rnacentral:rRNA from 1 species